CACGUAGGGACCGAGCGUUGUCCGGAUUUAUUGGGCGUAAAGAGCUCGUAGGCGGUUCAGCAAGUCGGGUGUGAAAACUCUGGGCUCAACCCAGAGACGCCACCCGAUACUGCUGUGACUAGAGUCCGGUAGGGGAGUGGGGAAUUCCUGGUGUAGCGGUGAAAUGCGCAGAUAUCAGGAGGAACACCGGUGGCGAAGGCGCCACUCUGGGCCGGCACUGACGCUGAGGCGCGACAGCGUGGGGAGCAAACAGG
rnacentral:rRNA from 1 species